CCUACGGGUGGCAGCAGUGGGGAAUAUUGGACAAUGGGCGCAAGCCUGAUCCAGCCAUACCGCGUGGGUGAAGAAGGCCUUCGGGUUGUAAAGCCCUUUUGUUGGGAAAGAAAUCCAGCUGGCUAAUACCCGGUUGGGAUGACGGUACCCAAAGAAUAAGCACCGGCUAACUUCGUGCCAGCAGCCGCGGUAAUACGAAGGGUGCAAGCGUUACUCGGAAUUACUGGGCGUAAAGCGUGCGUAGGUGGUCGUUUAAGUCCGUUGUGAAAGCCCUGGGCUCAACCUGGGAACUGCAGUGGAUACAGGGCGACUAGAAUGUGGUAGAGGGUAGCGGAAUUCCUGGUGUAGCAGUGAAAUGCGUAGAGA
rnacentral:rRNA from 1 species